CCCAGACUCCUACGGGAGGCAGCAGUGGGGAAUAUUGCGCAAUGGGGGAAACCCUGAUGCAGCGACGCCGCGUGAGCGAUGAAGUAUUUCGGUAUGUAAAGCUCUAUCAGCAGGGAAGAAGAUGACGGUACCUGACUAAGAAGCCCCGGCUAACUACGUGCCAGCAGCCGCGGUAAUACGUAGGGGGCAAGCGUUAUCCGGAUUUACUGGGUGUAAAGGGAGCGUAGGCGGCGACGCAAGUCAGAAGUGAAAGCCCGGGGCUCAACUCCGGGACUGCUUUUGAAACUGCGUUGCUAGAUUGCGGGAGAGGCAAGUGGAAUUCCUAGUGUAGCGGUGAAAUGCGUAGAUAUUAGGAGGAACACCAGUGGCGAAGGCGGCUUGCUGGACCGUGAAUGACGCUGAGGCUCGAAAGCGUGGGGAGCAAACAGGAUUAGAUACCCGUGUA
rnacentral:rRNA from 1 species